rnacentral:rRNA from 1 species
AUCAUGGCUCAGANUGAACGCUGGCGGCGUGCUUAACACAUGCAAGUCGAACGAGAAAGGNNUUGCUUGCANUCCUGANUAGAGUGGCGCACGGGUGANUAACACGUAUAUAAUCUACCUUCANGCCUGGGAUAACUAUUCGAAAGGAUAGCUNAUACCGGAUNAAGUUGAUGUACACAAGUAUAUUAAUGAAAGGCUGCCUAUCCAUGGAAGCAGUUGUUUGGANAUGAGUUUGCGGACCAUUAGUUAGUUGGGAGGGUAACGGCCUACCAAGACAACGAUGGUUAGCUGGUCUGAGAGGAUGAUCAGCCACACUGGAACUGGUACACGGUCCAGACUCCUACGGGAGGCAGCAGUGAGGGAUUUUGCGCANUGGGNGGAACCCUGACGCAGCAACGCCGCGUGAGUGAAGAANGCCUUUGGGUCGUAAAGCUCUGUCGACAGGAUAANANNUUACACGUAUCGAACAGGUAGGUGUAUUGACGNUACCUGUAUAGGA